CUUUAAAUCCAGAGGCAGCAGUUGUUGGGACACAACCUAUGUGGACGCAUCCUGCUGGUUUCCGCACGUAAGGAACGCAUGACAGUCCACCUGAACGGGACGAGGCCUUGCUCUGACAGCGGUUUGGCCGACCAGGCUUAAGGUACUCUGGAAACAUUGAGGCUCGCAGACCUACAUCGGCGACCGCAAGUGCUCAUUUUUCACCAAACUAUGUUAACGUUGAUUUAUACACCCUGGGAUAAUUGAAAGCUCGAGUCAGCAAGGUCUCGUGAGGUUAUAAAGCCGCUCCAUCAUCAGUGUCCCUCUAAUGGCUUUCAAAUGUACCGGCUGCUCCAACGCCAAUUUUCACAUCAAUUUAUUGCACGUAAACAAGCUGUCGAGUCAAUGAACUGUGAAACUCUAGCGUAUAGAGCGGCUUUUACAUCAGAGCGGGGUGGAAAUAGAAAGCGGUGUGUGUAAAUGGAGACGCGGGGAGGGUUAGGGUUAGCCAACUACAUGCUAAUUUGCUUGAGACACAUGUGUUACUGUGAAUGUGGGAUGGGGUGUGAGACCUCAGAGACGUUAACAAGUUAAUUUAUAUGUUCCUGCAGUUUCUGCAUGACACGCAGUACGACCGAAGUCUUCACCACAUCUGACGGGGUUAAGCACGGCUAAAUAUUCCCACGUCGCCUUGCUCCUCGAGACCCAAGACGUCUAAAUAAUAACAUGAAACGACAUUUACACAAUAUUAUUUGGGGACUCCAGUCAGCGAAAGGUGGAUUUG